UGAGAACUGUGGAUCAGGGAUGCAGCAGCUUUCCCAAGGUCCCACCCACGGACUGGACGCAGUGGCAGGUGGUGGAGGGAAGGAAGAAAUGCGAGGUUAAAGGAACCUUGUUGGACUGGCUAAAAUGGCUUGUUUGAACCACUAAUGCCAUCAGGGGGCUCCACCCUGAUGACUUCAUCUCACCCUAAUUACCUUUUAAAGGCCUCACCUCCAAAUUCCAUUCAUAUACAAGUUUGGGGAUUAUAUUUCCAACACAUGAACUAUGUCCACCAACUACAAUUUUCUACUUUGUUUCUGUGAAUUUGACUACUCUA